UGCCCUGUAGUGAAAUGGCAUCACAAUUGACUCUGAAUCAGUUAUUCUAGGUUCGAAUCCUAGCAGGGCAU
rnacentral:tRNA from 1 species